GUGCUUGCUUUGGCAGCAUGUACACUACAAUUGGAGCGAUAUGGAUAAGAUAAGCCUGGCCCCUAAGUAAGGAUGACACGUAGAUUUAUAAAGCAUUCCAUAAAAAG
rnacentral:snRNA from 1 species